CCCGUCACACCACGAAAGCUGCGUGUACCAGAAGUCGCUGAGCUGACCCAGCUUGGGGGGCAGACGCCGAAGGUAUGCCUGGUGAUUGGGGUG
rnacentral:rRNA from 1 species